GUCAGCCCAGAGCCCGACGCGGGGCUCGAACUCACAGACCUCGAGAUCAUGACCUGAGCUGAAGUCGGCCGCUUAACCAACUGAGCCAACCAGGUGCCCCUGAAGGAAAAUUUGUAAAGAGGUGUUGUUCCUUGGGCUUUGGUCCGUUUCUCUCUGUAUGUCCUCUUUCAACUCUGUAAUGACCACCUGGCCCAGUUAGUCUUUCUCAUCUGCACCCGUGAGCUUCGCUGUAUGCCCUGUACCUCCUGGGCGAGUCUGCUCUGAAGGUUAUAGAUAUCACCCCCUGUCCCGCCCAUCCCUCCCAGUCCCUUGGAUGUCACCAUUUCCUAGUGACCUUGACUUGUCUCCUUGAUAGUGUACCCAUCCUAUGUUUCAAUCCUCCAGGGCCCAUGAAGGGAAUGAGAGAGUUAUUUUUUUUCUAUACAGAGUUAGCUUAUUUUGCAUUUGCAAUUGCAUUUUGAUAAACUGCAAAUAUGCCUAAUGUCGACGUGCCCCAGGACCUCUUCUUAUCUUCACCUUCCCCUCCUUGGUGAUCUCAUCCAGUUUCAAGGCUUUAAAGACAUCUCUAUAUAGAUGACUCUUGAAUUGACAACCCAUGCCCUCUGCCUAUCUGAGUUUUCCACUGGGGUGACCAAUAGACAUCUCGGAAUGAAGACUGUAUGCCCAAGCCCCAGUUUCCAUCUACAGUCUUCUCCGUGCAAGUAUAUGGUAACUUUAUUGUCCCAGCUGCUCAGGACAACAAAUUGGGGCCAUCCUUUACUCUUCCUUUGUCCUCACGUCUGAAAAGGGUUGGUUCUCCUUCAAAUAGAUCUUCCCUCAGCUACCACUCUAGCCUAAGCCACCAUCCACCCUAUCCUGCUUUGGCUGUUCCAAUAAGCUUCCAAUAAGUUCCAAUUCUCCUUGUGAUCUACUCUUAACAGCCGGAGUGAUCUUGUUAAAAAAGCAAAUCACAUCAUCUGGCUCCUCGGUUUAUACCCUCCCACGGCUCCUACUUUACGGGAGGAGUCAAGCCGGAAACUGUUCUCUUCACCUCUGCUUCUCUGGAUAAAACAGAAACAAGCCUUGCUUGCUCUAGGCCCUUCUCUUGUGUUGUCCCUCCAGCUCCUGUGUGUGUGGGGGGGGGGGGGGGGCGCAGGGGCUCCUAAUGUUUACAAGGCCCCACCCAGAUGCAAAGUUAUCCUCACAUGCUAAUCAGUUGGUCAUUUUAAAUUUGGUCAAGGUUAGAUUUGUUAAGAAAGGUCUUCCCCAGAUCCUAGAACUCUCCUCACUAGCCCUGGAAGAUAAGACCUUCUAGUGGCUUUAUCUAAGGAGAGAUUGUCCUCUUUGUCCCCACCCCCGACCCCCACCGGUGGCUGUUCUGUCGCCACAGGGCAGGUCAGGGCCCACACCCACAGGAAAUGCCUAUUUGUUUCAAGGAACAUUUAACUCAGCAGCUUUCUUCUACUUGGGCCUGCGACUCCUUUUUCUCCCUUUUUUUCCCCCUUUAAGAAAACUAAGUCCAUUUUAAUUUUAUGGGCUUGACAGAACUAGGACAAUAGGACAAUGUUUCCUCGGAUCAAAAUUUUUUGUGAGAAUUUUUUUGGCAGAAUCAGUGUUUGCAAGAAGCAGAUAAAACUUGACUGUUGGAGAACCUCGCCGUAGCAAGCAGCUGCCUGCCAGCAAAUCUUCAGUUAACAACAGAGCUGGAGUCAUUGUUAGCCAGGAAACCAGUCUUUUUGCACCUGUCUGGAGGGAGGGCAGAGGAAGAAACUGAAGCAGUGGACAGGCUCAGACCCUUAUGUUCCCAAAGGAAUGGUGAGCAACUUUGACCAGAGCGCCAGUGUCUUUUUGCAAACACAGCCAACAGUGGAGGAUUUGCAGGGCGGCCUGUUUAAUGCCGCAUCAUAAACCACUAAAAACUCAGUGACUUAAAACAUCGACCAACUUUAUUUUUAUUGUAAGUCUUUGGAUCAGGAGUCUGGGCAGGGUUCUGCUGGGUGAUUUGUUUGUUCUAGUGGUAUCAGCUGGGAUACUUGGCGGGUUAGUGCCUGGUCUGAAGAACACAAGACAGCAUCACUUGGCACGUCCUGGUCCCUCAGUGUUGACAUCUGGCAGGAUGGACUCAGCUGGAUCCCUCUCUUCCAUGGAGUCCCACUCCCCAGAAAGGGAGUGGGAUUUUUUUUUCCAUAGUGGCUCAAAGCUCUAGAGGAAGGAAGCAGAAACUGUAGUCCUCUUAAAGGCUGGACCCAGCAUUGGCCGAGCAGUCACCGAGCCUGCCCCGACUCAAAGGGUGGGGUGCCCGGAGGACCGGGGGUGCAGACAACCUGGCGGGAGAAGUCUUGAGGAUUUGCAGCUCACUCUAAUCCUUCACGACAGGGUCGAUUAAACUGUACGGGUAUAACAGCACAGAUGUCAAUCUGUGGCUUCCACUUUUACGAUUCUGUAAAUUUCUUUCGGACACUGUUGUCAGCCUAGCCCUGAAGCGGAACACAUCCGCCCUUCUGUCCCUAUUUAACCUCUGUCCUCUGGCGAGGCUCCCUGAAUCUGACCUACUCUCAUCUUGGGCUUUGGAAAACCUUUCAUCAGUGAGGCAUCAUGGCCACGCCCAUGACCACCGCUGGACAGCAGGGUCCAGAGCAGCUCUACCCGGUAGAAAUAUAAUUGUGUAUACACAUACAGACCAUCCUGAUUCAGUCCGGUUCAGUCCUGCCUCGUCUCGAGUGCUCAACAGCUACAGGUGGCUGGUGGCUACCACAGUGGACAGCACUGGUCUAAAGCUCUGU